AACGUAGGGGACAAGCGUUAUCCGGAUUUACUGGGCGUAAAGCGCCCGUAGGCGGCCUGACAAGUUGGACGUGAAAGCUCCUGGCUUAACUGGGAGAGGCCGUUCAAAACUGUCAAGCUAGAGUCUGGAAGAGGAGAGCGGAAUUCCUGGUGUAGCGGUGAAAUGCGCAGAUAUCAGGAGGAACACCAGUGGCGAAGGCGCCGCUCUGGGCCGUGACUGACGCUGAGGAGCGAAAGCGUGGGUAGCAAACAGG
rnacentral:rRNA from 1 species